GGCUUUGAAGGCGGGGCAACAAAGCCUAUGGCUGAUAUGGCGCUCCUCGGCCCGCGCUUCAAAGGUUAUGACACUGUUAGCUCUAAGGGGAGAAGGAAUGUGUGACCAUUUCCAACGGUUAACUUGCAUUCCCCAGGUAGUUUGGAUGAGUUACAACCCAAAUCUGCAAACUCAAUACAGCCAGACCCUGGGAAGUGACCCUCUCCAAGCCUCCUGUAACUUCACCAUAAUACUGGUUAAUGUGACAAAAACACUGCAUGUAGCCAAUUUUUUUUUUUUUUGAGAUGGAGUUAUUGGCUCUUGUUGCCCAGGCUAGAGUGCAGUGGCGCGAUCUUGGCUCACUGCAACCUCCACCUCGUGGGUUCAAGUAAUUCUCCUGCCUCAGCCUCCCAAGUGGCUGGGAUUACAGGCACACGCCACCAUGCCCAGCUAAUUUUUUUGUAUUUUUAGUAGAGAUGGGGUUUCACUAUAUGUUGGCCAGGCUGGUCUCAAACUCCUGACCUCAGGUGAUCCGCCUGCCUCAGCCUUCCAAAGUGCUGGGGUUACAGGUGUGAGCCACUGCGCCCAGGCAAUUAUUUUCUUAUUUAUUUAUUUAUUUUAGAGACAGGAUGCCAUUAUGUUGCCUAGUUUGGAAUGCAGUGUCUAUUUAGAGGCGUGAUCAUGGCAUACUAU
rnacentral:lncRNA from 1 species